rnacentral:sRNA from 2 species
UGAAAGUGUACCUAGGGUUCCAGCCUAUUUGUAGGUGUUCGGACCGAGCGGUACAGGUAUAUUUUUAUAUACCACACCUUAGGGACAAAAGCCCGGGAGGA